AUGGGUAAGAUUAAUGAUACAAUUGCAGAUGCUAAGAAGGCUGUGAAUGAGCUUAUCAAGGAAGCGCGUGACAAGAAGUUGGAACCUGAGCCAGGGCGCACAAUGAUGGAAUCAUUUGAAAAUAGAGUGAAUCAUGUUCUUAACAAGGCUCGUGAUGAUGCUGGUAGUAGUGCUCAGAAGAGUUUGUCUGAGAGCAACAAUUUGAAAGCUAUGGUUACUGCAGGCUCAAAAGGCAGUUUCAUUAAUAUUUCGCAGAUGACUGCUUGCGUCGGACAGCAGAAUGUUGAGGGCAAGAGGAUCCCAUUUGGAUUUGCUGGUCGUACAUUGCCCCACUUCUCGCAAAAUGACAACGGUCCCGAAAGCCGUGGAUUCGUGCAGAACUCUUACCUUCGAGGCCUGACACCAGAGGAAUUCUUCUUCCAUGCUAUGGGUGGUAGAGAAGGUUUGAUCGAUACUGCUGUAAAAACUUCUGAGACUGGAUAUAUUCAGCGGAGGCUCGUGAAGGCCAUGGAGGACAUCAUGGUGAAAUAUGAUGGUACCGUGAGGAACUCCCUGGGUGAUGUCAUUCAGUUCUUGUAUGGAGAAGAUGGCAUGGAUGCUGUUUUGAUUGAACCGCAGAAAUUGGACACCCUGGGGAUGAAAAAGGCCGAGUUUGACAACGUAUUUCGUUACAAACUGGAUGAUGAGAACUGGAGGCCCACUUACAUGUCGCCUGAACAAGCUGAUGAUUUGAAGACCAUUCGUGAUAUCAGAAUUGUGUUUGAGGCAGAGAUUCAGAAAUUAGAAGCUGACAGAUUACAGCUUGGGACUGAAAUUGCCGCGACUGGCGACAUUACAUGGCCUAUGCCUGUCAACCUCAAGCGGCUUAUCUGGAAUGCUCAAAAGACUUUCAAGAUUGAUUUGAGAAGACCUUCUGACAUGCACCCCAUGGAAAUUGUGGAAGCAAUGGAUAAGUUGCAAGAAAGACUCAAGGUUGUCCCAGGAGACGAUGCCAUGAGCAUCGAGGCUCAGAAGAAUGCUACUCUGCUCUUCAAUAUCCUGCUCCGUAGCACAUUUGCUAGUAAGAGGAUAUUGAAAGAAUACAAGCUCACAAGGGAAUCUUUCGAAUGGGUCAUCGGUGAGAUAGAAUCGAGAUUCCACCAGUCUUUGGUAGCUCCUGGUGAGAUGAUUGGAUGCGUAGCUGCACAGUCCAUUGGAGAACCAGCAACUCAGAUGACGCUGAAUACUUUCCAUUAUGCCGGUGUUAGCGCCAAGAAUGUCACCCUUGGUGUCCCCAGGUUAAGGGAGAUCAUUAACGUCGCCAAGAAGAUAAAGACCCCGUCGUUGUCUGUUUUCCUAAAGCCUGAGGUGAGCAAGAAGAAAGAAUUGGCCAAGAAUGUCCAGUGUGCCUUGGAGUACACUACGCUACGUAGCGUGACCCAUGCCACCGAGAUAUGGUAUGAUCCUGAUCCUCUAGGAACCACCAUUGAAGAGGAUGUGGAAUUUGUCAAGUCAUAUUAUGAAAUGCCUGAUGAGGAUAUUGACCCGGAUAAGCUGUCUCCUUGGCUGCUGCGUAUCGAACUGAACCGUGAGAUGGUGGUAGAUAAGAGGUUGAGCAUGGCUGAAAUUGCAGAGAAGAUCAGACAUGAAUUUGAUGAUGACUUGUCAUGCAUAUUCAAUGAUGAUAACGCGGAUAAGCUCAUUCUUCGUAUCCGCAUUAAAAAUGAUGAUGAAACUCCAAAACAGGAUGAGGAUGAUGAUGUCUUCCUCAAGAAGGUUGAGAGUAACAUGUUGACUGAGAUGGCCCUUGGAGGCAUUGCAGAUAUUAACAAGGUCUUCAUCAAAGAGAAGAAGGUGAAUAGAUUUGAUGAAAAUGAUGGUUUCACUCAAAAAGAAGAGUGGAUGCUUGAUACAGAAGGUGUAAACCUCUUGGCAGUGAUGUGCCACGAGGAUGUUGACGCUACAAGGACAAGGAGUAACCAUCUGAUCGAAGUGAUUGAGGUUCUUGGGAUCGAGGCUGUCCGCAGGUCUCUCUUGGAUGAGCUGAGGGUGGUGAUAUCUUUUGAUGGGUCCUAUGUGAACUACAGGCAUCUGGCCAUUCUCUGCGAUACCAUGACAUACAGAGGUCACCUGAUGGCUAUUACUAGGCACGGUAUCAAUCGUAAUGACACAGGACCUCUCAUGAGAUGUUCUUUUGAAGAAACAGUGGAUAUCUUGCUUGAUGCUGCUGUGUAUGCGGAGUCUGAUUACCUGAGAGGUGUCACCGAGAACAUUAUGCUUGGCCAGCUCGCUCCUAUUGGUACAGGAGGCUGUGGAUUGUAUCUGAAUGAGGAGAUGCUGAAGCAGGCCAUUGAGCUUCAACUCCCGAGCUAUGUUGAAGGUCUGGACUAUGGCUGUGGCAUGGCAUCAGCGCAUUCAUCCAUCUCCGGGACACCAUACCAUGAUGGAGGAAUGAUGUUGCCAGUGCUGAGUCCAAAUUUCUGGGCUUCCCCCGUUACAGGUGCUCAGUUCUCGCCAUAUGUUGGGGGCAUGGCAUUCUCUCCCGUCCCAUCAAACUACAGCCAAUCCUAUACGUCUGGCCCUCCUUCCUACAGUCCGACCAGUCUAUCAUACUCGCCAACAUCGCCAAUCUAUAGUCCGGUAUCGCCGAUCUGUAGUUCGGCAUCGACAGUUUAUAGUCCAACAUCCCCAGUUUAUAGCCCGACAUCCCUUUCAUAUAGCCCAACAUCGCCAGUUUGUAGUCCAACAUCGCCAGUUUAUAGCCGGACAUCUCUUGCAUACAGCCCCACGUCACCAUCCUAUAGUCCAACAUCGCCACUCUAUAGCCCAACAUCACCAUCAUACAGUCCUACAUUGCCCUCAUCAUACAGCCCUACGUCGCCUGGUUACAGCCCGACGUCACCGAGCUACAGCCCGACAUCACCGAACUACAGCCCUACGUCACCGAACUACAGCCUGACAUCACCGAGCUACAGCCCUACUUCACCGAACUACUGCCCGACGUCACCGAGCUACAGCCCUACUUCACCGAACUACUGCCCGACGUCACCGAGCUACAGCCCUACCUCACCGAACUACUGCCCGAGGUCACCGAGCUACAGCCCUACGUCACCUUCGUACAGUCCUUCACAUGCUUAUUCUCCAAGCAGCCCAAAGAUGAUGAGCCCGUACAGUCAAGCUCCUCCAAACUACAGCCCUGCCUCGCCGACUUACUCGCCCACCUCACCAUCAUAUGCACAACCAAGCCCAUCGUACAGCCCGACAAGCCCGCACACUACCUCUGGAGGACCUAGCCCAGAUUACAGCCCAACUUCCCCCAACUACAGCCCCAGCGCAAGCUACUCCCCAUCACCCACCGGGCCGCAAACUACUGACAUGGAUGACGAGACUGCUACUUGA
rnacentral:rRNA from 1 species